CCUACGGGUGGCAGCAGUGGGGAAUAUUGGACAAUGGGGGCAACCCUGAUCCAGCCAUGCCGCGUGUGUGAAGAAGGCCCUCGGGUUGUAAAGCACUUUCAGUGAGGAAGAACGCCUGGUGGUUAAUACCCAUCAGGAAAGACAUCACUCACAGAAGAAGCACCGGCUAACUCCGUGCCAGCAGCCGCGGUAAUACGGAGGGUGCGAGCGUUAAUCGAAAUUACUGGGCGUAAAGCGCGCGUAGGUGGCUUGAUAAGCCGGUUGUGAAAGCCCCGGGCUCAACCUGGGAACGGCAUCCGGAACUGUCAAGCUAGAGUGCAGGCGAGGAAGGUAGAAUUCCCGGUGUAGCGGUGAAAUGCGUAGAGAUCGGGAGGAAUACCAGUGGCGAAGGCGGCCUUCUGGACUGACACUGACACUGAGGUGCGAAAGCGUGGGUAGCAAACAGGAUUAGAUACCCUGGUAGUC
rnacentral:rRNA from 1 species